rnacentral:rRNA from 1 species
GAUGAACGCUGACAGAAUGCUUAACACAUGCAAGUCAACUGUGGCGGACGGGUGAGUAACGCGUAAAGAACUUGCCUCACAGAUAGGGAAAACAUUUUGAAACGAAUGCUAAUACCUGAUACUGUGAGAGAGCUUUGCGUCCAAUUAGCUAGUUGGAGAGGUAACGGCGCACCAAGGCGAUGAUGGGUAGCCGGCCUGAGAGGGUGAUCGGCCACAAGGGGACUGAGAAACGGAGCUUACUCUUACGGGUGGCAGUAGUGGGGAAUAUUGGUCAAUGGACCAAAGUCUGAUACAGCAAUUCUGUGUGCACGAUGAAGUUUUCGGAAAGUAAAGUGAUGUCAGUUGGGAAGCAGUACCAACAGAAGAAGGGACGGCUAAAUACGUGCCAGCCGCCGCGGUAAUUC